CCUACGGUGGACUGCAGUGAGGAAUAUUGGUCAAUGGGCGCGAGCCUGAACCAGCAACGUCGCGUGAGGGAAGACGGUCCUAUGGAUUGUAAACCUCUUUUGUCGGGGAGCAAAAGACGCCACGCGUGGCGUUCCGAGAGUAACCGACGAACAAGCAUCGGCUAAAUCCGUGCCAGCAGACGCGGUAAUACGGAGGAUGCGAGCGUUAUCCGGAUUUCUUGGGGUAAAAGGGUGCGACGGCGGAAGUUCAAGUCAGCGGUAAAAUUGAGAGGCUCAACCUCUUCGAGCCGGUGAAACUGGUUUUCUUGAGUUCACAACAGGCAGGCGGAAUUCGUGGUGUAGCGGUGAAAUGCAUAGAUAUCACGAGGAACCCCUAUUGCGAAGGCAGCCUGCCGGGGUGCGACUGACGCUGAGGCUCGAAGGUGCGGGUAUCAAACAGGAUUAGAUACCCUUGUAGUC
rnacentral:rRNA from 1 species